UACCCCCAGGGGAAGUUGAAUCCCCGUUGCCUCC
rnacentral:tRNA from 1 species